rnacentral:rRNA from 1 species
GACGAACGCUGGCGGCGUGCCUAAUACAUGCAAGUUGAGCGAUGAAGAUUGGUGCUUGCACCAAUUUGAAGAGCAGCGAACGGGUGAGUAACGCGUGGGGAAUCUGCCUUUGAGCGGGGGACAACAUUUGGAAACGAAUGCUAAUACCGCAUAACAACUUUAAACAUAAGUUUUAAGUUUGAAAGAUGCAAUUGCAUCACUCAAAGAUGAUCCCGCGUUGUAUUAGCUAGUUGGUGAGGUAAAGGCUCACCAAGGCGAUGAUACAUAGCCGACCUGAGAGGGGGAGCGGCCACAUUGGGACUGAGACACGGCCCAAACCCCUACGGGAGGCAGCAGUAGGGAAUCUUCGGCAAUUGACGAAAGUCUGACCGAGCAACGCCGCGGGAGGGAAGAAGGGUGUCGGAUCGUAAAACUCUGUUGGUAGAGAAGAACGUUGGUGAGAGUGGAAAGCUCAUCAAGUGACGGUAACUACCCAGAAAGGGACGGCUAACUACGUG